CUAGAAACAGAGGUAUAGCAUCAGAAGAGCUGAUCUGCCACCCAAUCCACAGUCAAGACCCAAUACAACUCCUACAGAAUUCAAUGGCAAAUUUCCAGUACCUUCAACGGGAGUAGCAUCAUGCCCUGCGAAGGUGGAGGCUAAAAGCCUUUGAACAGGCUUAAGGAAACAGAGAACCAGACACACAUCUUAGAUAAAAUCAGCAUAGCUUCAGUGCAGCUAUCCUAUCUGAAGAUCUGACCUAUAGUCAUCUAGGUCCCAUUUUAUUCAGAAGAGGAACUGAAUGCAGUAUUUGACCUCCGGCACUCUGAGGACAUGCCAAAUAGGUCUGAAACAAUCAAAAUGUUUUAAACAGAACAUGAUUCACAGUGCAGCUCUGUUUGGGUGUCCAGUUACAGCAGCACCUGACUUACGUUUCUGUAUGUUCCAGGAGGGCUAAAGGGCUUCAGCAGUUUUCUGACCACUGUGACUAUCUCCUUCUUCCCUGGACAGAACAGAACCGCCGCUUGAAGUUCUAUAUUCAAUCUCCUGCCUCCUUCAGGACCAGUGCUAUCACAUCACCGCCUGAUUGUACUGUCAGAGUAGGGACAAUACAAUCAUUGGCUUCACUGAAAGCUUAGCCUGAGAAGGUACUGCAGGAGUGAGCAUGUCACAUCUGAAACGGUAUGUAACAGAAGUGACUUACAAUAGAAAGCAUUUCACUCUUCUGUGGUCCAGACAUAAUCCUCUGGAGUUAUGCCUACUAUAGACAGAGCGUAUUUGGUACCUUGCAAGAUCAGGCCCUCAGUUUGGAGAGAGGAGCUAUUGCAGCAGGUCAAUGGAACUACUUGCAUAAGUGCUCCACAACACGAGCCAGGGUUCUGCAAUCAGCCCCUCUAGUUUACAUCAGCCUGCAGAUGAGAAAACUUUCUGAGGGGUCCAGACCUGCAAGGUGCUGAAUGCCCGGAAAUCUCAUUGACUUCAGCAUGCCUUAGUGGUCAGGAUUCAGGACUGGGACCAGAGAAGGUCUAUUCUAAGCUCUGCUGGUGACCUUGGGUCAGUCACUUCACCCCUCUGUGUUGUCUCUUUGGAUUAAAGCUUUUGGGGGACAGCGUUGUCUCUGUUUACAGAGUGUUCAGCACACUGGGGCCUCUAGUCACUAGUCUUAUAUCAACUAACAGAAUCCUAGUGAUGACUAUAGUUAUUACUAAAAUGUUUUAGAGAACCACCUUACACGCAUACACAGCCCCGUGUGCAUUUUUAUGUAAUUUAAUCAUUUUUCUUAUGUUAUCCUAACAUGGCGCUGCAGUCCAGACAGCAGGGGGUGUGAAUUGUAGAGCACUGUAACAUGUCCCAAGGGAACCCCCCCACCUCUGGCACAUUAACUUUUUUAACCAGCAAGGCAGGACAAAAACAAGCAAGGUGGCAACCCUAGUUGUCCAUCGCUCAUGCGUAUGAUUCAUUGGUGCCACUAGGCAUAACAGCCAGGAAUCCACCAUAAUGAUAGAGAUGUUUUUCAUCUAUUGAUUUUGCGAUACAAGUGCCAAGCUAGGCAUGCAAGUCAGUCAAGGAAAGAUGUGUUGUUACCAUUAGUCAUAGGGAGACAGCCUCUAUGAGAAGAAGGCCAACGGGUUGCAAAUGGAGAAGUGUACAGAGAAUACAUCAUAAGAUCGACGGAGGAAGGACCACCUCUUUGCCUAGCGCAAUGGUGUGCUGAUCUGUGACUGGGGCCCCUAGGUGCUACUGCACUACACCACCACCACCUUCUCUCUACGGCAUGUGAAAAUUCGUCUCCAGCUUUCAGCAGCAAUAAUGCAUGCAGUCAUCGCAAACAA